AUCAUUUGUCCUAAGUCAAAGUUUUAUAAUUUUGACUAACUUUUUAGAAAAAAGUAGUGGUAUAUUUGACAUCAAAUUGGUAUAUUAUAUGGAAAUACAUUUCAAACCGAAUCUAGUGGUACUAAUUUAGUGCCAUAAAUGCUGCUACCUUUUUCUAAAAAUUUGGUCAAAGUUUUAAAAGUUUGACUUAGGACAAAAACUA
rfam:Triticum aestivum genome assembly, contig: Triticum_aestivum_CS42_TGACv1_scaffold_557077_7AL